rnacentral:rRNA from 1 species
AGGGUUUGAUCCUGGGCUCAGAACGAACGUUGGCGGCGUGCUUAACACAUGCAAGUCGAACGAGAACGUCCCGGCUUGCCGGGAUUAGUAAAGUGGCGCACGGGUGAGUAACACGUGAGUAAUUUCCCUCUAAGCUUGGGAUAACACUGCGAAAGCGGUGCUAAUACCGAAUAAGACCACGGUAUCACAUGAUACAGUGGGAAAAGGUGGCCUCUGUGUAUGCUAUCACUUGGAGAUAAGCUCGCGGACCAUUAGCUUGUUGGUAGGGUAACGGCCUACCAAGGCUGAGAUGGUUAGCUGGUCUGAGAGGAUGAUCAGCCACACUGGAACUGAGACACGGUCCAGACUCCUACGGGAGGCAGCAGUGGGGAAUAUUGCGCAAUGGGGGAAACCCUGACGCAGUGACGCCGUGUGAGUGAUGAAGGUUUUCGGAUCGUAAAGCUCUGUCAGAUGGGAAGAAUAAAGGCAGGGAAAAUAUUUCUGCCUGAUGACGGUACCAUCAAAGGAAGCACCGGCUAACUCCGUGCCAGCAGCCGCGGUAAUACGGGGGGUGCAAACGUUGUUCGGAAUUACUGGGCGUAAAGCGCAUGUAGGCGGAUACGGAAGUCAGAUGUGAAAGCCCUUGGCUCAACCAAGGAAGUGCAUCUGAAACCACGUAUCUUGAGUAUGACAGAGGGAAGUGGAAUUUCCAGUGUAGAGGUGAAAUUCAUAGAUAUUGGAAAGAACACCGGUGGCGAAGGCGG